rnacentral:rRNA from 1 species
CGGCAUGCCUUACACAUGCAAGUCGAACGGCAGCAUGGAGGAGCUUGCUCCUCUGAUGGCGAGUGGCGAACGGGUGAGUAAAGCAUCGGAACGUACCGUGUAGUGGGGGAUAACGUAGCGAAAGUUACGCUAAUACCGCAUACGCACUGAGGUGGAAAGCAGGGGAUCGCAAGACCUUGCGCUAUACGAGCGGCCGAUGUCAGAUUAGCUAGUUGGUAGGGUAAAGGCCUACCAAGGCGACGAUCUGUAGCGGGUCUGAGAGGAUGAUCCGCCACACUGGGACUGAGACACGGCCCAGACUCCUACGGGAGGCAGCAGUGGGGAAUUUUGGACAAUGGGCGAAAGCCUGAUCCAGCCAUGCCGCGUGAGUGAAGAAGGCCUUCGGGUUGUAAAGCUCUUUCGGCUGGGAAGAAAUCGCACAGGCUAAUACUCUGUGUGGAUGACGGUACCAGCACAAGAAGCACCGGCUAACUACGUG